rnacentral:pre_miRNA from 1 species
UCUUGUGGUUGAGCAAUGAAAGUGGUUUCUUGAGAUGGAAUCUAAUCCUGCUGAAGAUGCUGUGAA